CCAUUACCAUCUCUCUCUCCAUCAGCGUCUGCAACGUAUCCUUCUUCUUCAUUCUUCACAGAAACACCACCACAACCAAUUCACAGCGACACCAUGACCACUCGACGUCUUUGUUUAUUUUGGAAACUAACAACAAGAGCACUUCCAAAGUUGAAGUCACGCAUAAAUUCUUCACCAAUGGUCGUGGCGAAGGAGCAUGCUAGCUAUGGGGAAAUAACAGAAUCAAAAGCUGGCCAGGGAGCACUUUUACUAAAAAUUCUUUCAAAAUUUUUUGAGGUAUAUUUGAAGAAUCGAUUAGAGGAGAUGAUUUAAGUGUAUAACCAUGUAUCUGGAAGUGAUUAUGGGUAUCUGGAAGUGUAUAACAAUCGUCGUAGUUUUCAUGUUAGCUUGUUGUACAAGCUCUGUUUUGCUUGUACAACAAAAUAGAGCAAAAACAGAGCAAUUAACUCUGUUUUUUACUCUUUUUUAUGUACUCUGUUUUAUGUGUGUAUCUGUGUUACAUACUCUAUUUUUUCCUUUGUUUUAUGUACUCUGUUUUUUGCUCUGAUUUAGUACUCUGUUUUUUGCUCUGAUUUAGUAAUCUGUUUUGCUUGCAAUUAACUCGUAAAACAGAGCAAAAACAGAGCAAUUAAUUAUUAUUAUUAUUUUUUUGUA